rnacentral:rRNA from 1 species
GUUGGAAAGCGGCGAACGGGUGAGUAACACGUGAGUAAUAAGCCCUCGACAUCGGGAUAGCCCGGGGAAACCCGGAUUAAUACCGAAUGGCCCAACAGCUUUUCGGAGCGGUUGGAAAAGGUAGCUUCGGCCUCCGGUCGAGGAGGAGCUCGCGGCGGAUUAGCUUGUUGGUGGGGUAACGGCCCACCAAGGCUUCGAUCCGNAGCUGGUCUGAGAGGACGAUCAGCCACACUGGGACUGAGACACGGCCCAGACUCCUACGGGAGGCAGCAGUGGGGAAUCUUGCGCAAUGGGCGAAAGCCUGACGCAGCGACGCCGCGUGAGGGAAGAAGGCCUUCGGGUUGUAAACCUCUUUCAGGAGGGACGAAGCCACUCGGGUUAAUAGCCCAGAGGGUGACGGUACCUUCAGAAGAAGCCCCGGCUAACUACGUGCCAGCAG